rnacentral:tmRNA from 23 species
GGGGGCGAAAAGGUCUCGACGGCGAGUCGGAGCCUUGAGCUGCAGGCAGGGUUGGCUGCCACACCUUAAAAAGGGUAGCAAGGCAAAAAUAAAUGCCGAACCAGAAUUUGCACUAGCUGCUUAAUGUAAGCAGCCGCUCUCCAAACUGAGGCUGCAUAAGUUUGGAAGAGCGUCAACCCAUGCAGCGGCUCUUAAGCAGUGGCACCAGCUGUUUAAGGGUGAAAAGAGUGGUGCUGGGCAGUGCGGUUGGGCUUCCUGGGCUGCACUGUCGAGACUUCACAGGAGGGCUAAGCCUGUAGACGCGAAAGGUGGCGGCUCGUCGGACGCGGGUUCGAUUCCCGCCGCCUCCACCA